rnacentral:rRNA from 1 species
AAUAUCGUACGGUUUCGUUUUCCACCGGAGCUUGCUCCACCGGAAAAAGAAGAGUGGCGAACGGGUGAGUAACACGUGGGUAACCUGCCCAUCAGAAGGGGAUAACACUUGGAAACAGGUGCUAAUACCGUAUAACAAUCGAAACCGCAUGGUUUUGAUUUGAAAGGCGCUUUCGGGUGUCGCUGAUGGAUGGACCCGCGGUGCAUUAGCUAGUUGGUGAGGUAACGGCUCACCAAGGCUACGAUGCAUAGCCGACCUGAGAGGGUGAUCGGCCACAUUGGGACUGAGACACGGCCCAAACUCCUACGGGAGGCAGCAGUAGGGAAUCUUCGGCAAUGGACGAAAGUCUGACCGAGCAACGCCGCGUGAGUGAAGAAGGUUUUCGGAUCGUAAAACUCUGUUGUUAGAGAAGAACAAGGAUGAGAGUAACUGUUCAUCCCUUGACGGUAUCUAACCAGAAAGCCACGGCUAACUACGUGCCAGCAGCCGCGGUAAUACGUAGGUGGCAAGCGUUGUCCGGAUUUAUUUGGGCGUGAAAGGCGAGCGCAGGCGGUUUCUUAAGUCUGAUGUGAAAGCCCCCGGCUCAACCGGGGAGGGUCAUUGGAAACUGGGAGACUUGAGUGCAGAAGAGGAGAGUGGAAUUCCAUGUGUAGCGGUGAAAUGCGUAGAUAUAUGGAGGAACACCAGUGGCGAAGGCGGCUCUCUGGUCUGUAACUGACGGAGAGGCUCGAAAGCGUGGGGAGCAAACAGGAUUAGAUACCCUGGUAGUCCACGCCGUAAACGAUGAGUGCUAAGUGUUGGAGGGUUUCCGCCCUUCAGUGCUGCAGCUAACGCAUUAAGCACUCCGCCUGGGGAGUACGACCGCAAGGUUGAAACUCAAAGGAAUUGACGGGGGCCCGCACAAGCGGUGGAGCAUGUGGUUUAAUUCGAAGCAACGCGAAGAACCUUACCAGGUCUUGACAUCCUUUGACCACUCUAGAGAUAGAGCUUCCCCUUCGGGGGCAAAGUGACAGGUGGUGCAUGGUUGUCGUCAGCUCGUGUCGUGAGAUGUUGGGUUAAGUCCCGCAACGAGCGCAACCCUUAUUGUUAGUUGCCAUCAUUCAGUUGGGCACUCUAGCAAGACUGCCGGUGACAAACCGGAGGAAGGUGGGGAUGACGUCAAAUCAUCAUGCCCCUUAUGACCUGGGCUACACACGUGCUACAAUGGGAAGUACAACGAGUCGCGAAGUCGCGAGGCUAAGCUAAUCUCUUAAAGCUUCUCUCAGUUCGGAUUGUAGGCUGCAACUCGCCUACAUGAAGCCGGAAUCGCUAGUAAUCGCGGAUCAGCACGCCGCGGUGAAUACGUUCCCGGGCCUUGUACACACCGCCCGUCACACCACGAGAGUUUGUAACACCCGAAGUCGGUGAGGUAACCUUUUGGAGCCAGCUUAC